AAAGAUGUAGUUAAAAUAUAACAUUGAUUUUGUAAAUCAAAAUUAUCCAUUAUUCAUUUUUA
rnacentral:tRNA from 1 species